AUGAGUGAUAAUACAUAUGCUGUUACUAGUUGAAGUCCUUUUCUUUAAAGAAACAGUUGUCGCCAAACAGUCCGUUAACAACCACUUUGCUUCCCUUUUAAGACUUUCCUUUCUACAUAAAAUCGUUGAUUUCACGGGAUUAUUACAUUCUUUACGCGUUUCCAUUUUUACAAAUCAAUCAAGGAUCGUUUCCAUAUUGCGGAACCUUCGAAUACUAUAAAAACCCGAAGACUUCACCUCCAUUUUACCCCACACAAAUCUGUUUCGACCAACCUACUCAACCACUUUUCGUUACACUUCAAGCAUUUGCCGGAGGACCAGACGUGGCUGGAAAACACGAGUACGUCGCCGGAGAUCGGAGUUCCGCCGGAGAUGUCCGAGAUCACCACGGAGAUCCCCUUUUCGUUACGUUUCGUUCGUAGAAAGAAACCCUCACUCUCUCUCUCUAACGGGACGUCGCCGGAAGUUCACCGGAGAAGAAAGCUCUCGCCGGAAAGUUCGAAGUUCGCCACGUCGGAAUUCACAACGGGAAUCAUCUCGUCUUAUUCGGAUAACCAGUACGUUCGUUUCUCUUGGAAUUUUCCAUCUUUACUCGUGCGUUAAUACAAGAAGCGCAACGCAAUCUAAGGUUGAUGUUCAAGAAAUAAAGCAAUCAAGCUAGGAUGGAACUAGAAACCCAUUUUAGCAUAGUAUUUUAUUAUGUUUGAAUUAUGAUGUACUUGAAAACAAUGUAUUCCCAUUUGAUAUUUAUGAAAUGAAUUUAAUUCA